rnacentral:lncRNA from 1 species
CUUCCCCGCACCAUGGAGUUCUCCGAGAGGAAAAGAAGCAGGAAAUCCCAGAGCUUCAAACUGGUGAGCCGAGAUUAUCACCACGAGGUGUAUAAGAUCCCAGAAUUCAGCAACGAUGUUAAUGGGGAGGCCAAAGAGACACAGCCCAUUUUUUUAGGUGUAUUGUCAGCCUUUGGAGACUUUUGCUGUGUGUUUCAUAGAAU